rnacentral:misc_RNA from 1 species
AGCACGAUGCAUAGUGUUACAGGGAAGUUCUUGGGCACAACUCUUGAAACUUCUAGUCACUUUAAAGCUGCAUACACAGAAGAUAUCAACUGCUCUUUGCAGCAUAUUUUGGUGCUGGUGGCAAAGUCCCAAACACAUUGUCCCACAGUGAAGAAGUAAUCCCAAAUCCCUUAGUCUGAACUCUGAAGUGAUGAUUCAAAUGAAAACGCUUCAGAUUCCGAACAGGAUCUUUCGAUGGUUGUCCGUGAUGCAGGUAGUAAUGAGUACAGUCAUAGAUCACAUAGCCCAACAAUCCACCUCCAAAUAUCGCAGGGGCAGUGGAAGGAGUCGAAAUCAGCCAAAUUAGAUUAUAAAACGGCACAGAGAGAAUAGCAGUUGCAGCCGGGGGGAAUACAAGGCGCAGCCCAUCCAUUGGGUGUUUAUGAUGACAUCCAUGUAGAAGAUAGUGUAAUGUGUUAGUCCAGUAGCUUUUUGUUUCAAUGUG